AGAGUUUGAUCCUGGCUCAGACGAACGCUGCGGCGUGCCUAAUACAUGCAAGUAGAACGCUGAAGAAAGGAGCUUGCUUCUUUUGGAUGAGUUGCGAACGGGUGAGUAACGCGUAGGUAACCUGCCUUGUAGCGGGGGAUAACUAUUGGAAACGAUAGCUAAUACCGCAUAACAGCUUUUGACACAUGUUAGAAGCUUGAAAGAUGCAAUUGCAUCACUACGAGAUGGACUGCGUUGUAUUAGCUAGUAGGUAGGGUAACGGCCUACCUAGGCGACGAUACAUAGCCGACCUGAGAGGGUGAUCGGCCACACUGGGACUGAGACACGGCCCAGACUCCUACGGGAGGCAGCAGUAGGGAAUCUUCGGCAAUGGGGGCAACCCUGACCGAGCAACGCCGCGUGAGUGAAGAAGGUUUUCGGAUCGUAAAGCUCUGUUGUAAGAGAAGAACGUGUGUGAGAGUGGAAAGUUCACACAGUGACGGUAACUUACCAGAAAGGGACGGCUAACUACGUGCCAGCAGCCGCGGUAAUACGUAGGUCCCGAGCGUUGUCCGGAUUUAUUGGGCGUAAAGCGAGCGCAGGCGGUUUAAUAAGUCUGAAGUUAAAGGCAGUGGCUUAACCAUUGUUCGCUUUGGAAACUGUUAAACUUGAGUGCAGAAGGGGAGAGUGGAAUUCCAUGUGUAGCGGUGAAAUGCGUAGAUAUAUGGAGGAACACCGGUGGCGAAAGCGGCUCUCUGGUCUGUAACUGACGCUGAGGCUCGAAAGCGUGGGGAGCAAACAGGAUUAGAUACCCUGGUAGUCCACGCCGUAAACGAUGAGUGCUAGGUGUUAGGCCCUUUCCGGGGCUUAGUGCCGCAGCUAACGCAUUAAGCACUCCGCCUGGGGAGUACGACCGCAAGGUUGAAACUCAAAGGAAUUGACGG
rnacentral:rRNA from 1 species